GACGGGGGGGGCAAGUGUUCUUCGGAAUGACUGGGCGUAAAGGGCACGUAGGCGUGAAUCGGGUUGAAAGUGAAAGUCGCCAAAAAGUGGCGGAAUGCUCUCGAAACCAAUUCACUUGAGUGAGACAGAGGAGAGUGGAAUUUCGUGUGUAGGGGUGAAAUCCGUAGAUCUACGAAGGAACGCCAAAAGCGAAGGCAGCUCUCUGGGUCCCUACCGACGCUGGGGAUGCGAAAGCAUGGGGAGCGAA
rnacentral:rRNA from 1 species